GGCAGCUCCAGAGCAAGCCUGAGGACUAAGAAAGGAGCUGUGCUACUCAAAAAAGAGAAGUCGAUCAACGAGGUCCCUCUCUCCUCCUCCGGCCAGCCUUGGGGACCCGCCGCUGGCGUCCACCAAGGCUUUCCAGAAGCGUUUGCCAUUUCAGGGAUGCCGGAUAACUCCGCAGACGGGAGACUUUUCCAUAAUUAAACUCUGCGCAAAAUAAAGGGAGAUCUUCAUCACACUCUUUGUAUUCAUAUAAAAUCUGUUGCCAUGGGAGCUGGCAUUGAAUAGCAAGUUUACAAAAGCAUUCGGCAUUUCCCUUGUCGUUUCGGGUACGCACGUUCACAGGCAACCCUGAAAAACAAGAAUAAAAUCCGAAGUUUUCCACAUGAUCAGCGUCAACAGUGGUAUUGGUGAAUGCAGAUAGAGCAUCCCUCUGCAAUCUGAUUUAAUUCAUUCCUGUCUUCGACGAGGCACUGAAAGAUAUUACCCAAAUGGAAGUUAUAUUACGGUAGCGCUUAUUGCCUUACUUUAACUAUUACCUCACCUCUCCCUGUGCCGUUAACCUGCCAGCCUGCCCGUGGAAACGUGCCUUAUCCAAAAUA